UAAGGAAUAUUGGACAAUGGAGGCAACUCUGAUCCAGCCAUGCCGCGUGAAGGAAUAAGGCCCUAUGGGUUGUAAACUUCUUUUAGACGGGACAAAACCCCUUUACGUGUAGAGGGUUGAUGGUACUGUCAGAAUAAGCAUCGGCUAACUUCGUGCCAGCAGCCGCGGUAAUACGAAGGAUGCAAGCGUUAUCCGGAAUUAUUGGGUUUAAAGGGUGCGUAGGCGGACUAAUAAGUCAGUGGUGAAAGCCUGCAGCUUAACUGCAGAAUUGCCAUUGAUACUGUUAGUCUUGAGUACAGUUGAGGUAGGCGGAAUGUGUCAUGUAGCGGUGAAAUGCUUAGAUAUGACACAGAACACCGAUUGCGAAGGCAGCUUGCUAAGCUGUAACUGACGCUGAGGCACGAAAGCGUGGGGAGCAAACA
rnacentral:rRNA from 1 species